AGUGAACGCUGGCGGUAGGCCUAACACAUGCAAGUCGAACGGCAGCACAGGAGAGCUUGCUCUCUGGGUGGCGAGUGGCGGACGGGUGAGGAAUACAUCGGAAUCUACUCUGUCGUGGGGGAUAACGUAGGGAAACUUACGCUAAUACCCCAUACGACCUACGGGUGAAAGCAGGGGACCUUCGGGCCUUGCGCGAAUGAAUGAGCCGAUGUCGGAUUAGCUAGUUGGCGGGGUAAAGGCCCACCAAGGCGACGAUCCGUAGCUGGUCUGAGAGGAUGAUCAGCCACACUGGAACUGAGACACGGUCCAGACUCCUACGGGAGGCAGCAGUGGGGAAUAUUGGACAAUGGGCGCAAGCCUGAUCCAGCCAUACCGCGUGGGUGAAGAAGGCCUUCGGGUUGUAAAGCCCUUUUGUUGGGAAAGAAAUCCAGCUGGCUAAUACCCGGUUGGGAUGACGGUACCCAAAGAAUAAGCACCGGCUAACUUCGUGCCAGCCGCCGCGGUAA
rnacentral:rRNA from 1 species